GGUGGCACUGUGAGCCAAUGCGUCUGACUGUUAACCAGAAGGUUGGUGGUUCGAGCCUACCCUGCAGGGCA